GACGAACGCUGGCGGCGUGCUUAACACAUGCAAGUCGAACGGAAAGGCCCUGCUUUUGUGGGGUGCUCGAGUGGCGAACGGGUGAGUAACACGUGAGUAACCUGCCCUUGACUUUGGGAUAACUUCAGGAAACUGGGGCUAAUACCGGAUAGGAGCUCCUGCUGCAUGGUGGGGGUUGGAAAGUUUCGGCGGUUGGGGAUGGAAUCGCGGCUUAUCAGCUUGUUGGUGGGGUAGUGGCUUACGAAGGCUUUGACGGGUAGCCGGCCUGAGAGGGGGACCGGCCACAUUGGGACUGAGAGACGGCCCAGACUCCUACGGGAGGCAACAGUGGGGAAUUUUGCACAAUGGGCGGAAGCGAGAUGCAGCAGCGCCGCGUGCGGGAUGACGGCCUACGGGUUGUAAACCGCUUUCGCCUGUGACGAAGCGUGAGUGACGGUAAUGGGUAAGGAAGCACCGGCUAACUACGUG
rnacentral:rRNA from 1 species